rnacentral:lncRNA from 1 species
CUUCAUAAAGAAAUAGUUUUAAGGGAGGACUUCAAAGAGUAUUUUGCCAAAUUUGGUAAAGUGCGGGUAAAUUGAUUUUUGGUUGUCCUUUUUCUUUACAAUUGGUCGUGGAGCUUCUUGGAUUAAACUUGUAAAGAGUAGUAUUGGAAAGCCUCAUUUUUGUAAGAUGCUCUGGUAUUUCCGAGUAGAAGAAAGCAAAGCCAACAAUGGUCGUUAGAAAUUAUUAGUACUCUACAAAAUUUGUAACACAUCAUAUUAAUUGGGAACUCAAAUCUUGGUUGCAAAAUUUAGAUCUGUGCUAUAAAUGCAGGCAAUACAAAAGGUAGGAAGACCAUACGAAGACCAAUACAAAUAGGAGGAUGCAUGAGCUUCAGAUAUGAUUGAAUUCAGUCUGAAGAUGGAGACUUGAAGGAGGAAUUAGUGGAGAAUGGGAAGGUGGAUAGAACAUGGGAACCAAUCAAAUACGUGUAGGUAUGACAUGGUGCUUUUUUUAAUCUCUUGCGGAUGUCAAUAUUUUUCUACAGUUACAUAUAUAAAACUGAAUCACAAAGGAUUUUAUUUUUGAUUAGGUACACCAUAGAAUAGUCUCACAUCUUGGUUUAUUUAUUACCCUGUUUAAAUAUCAACCAACAUGCUUGUCAAAUUUGUAAUUUAUAAUUUGUUAUUUGCUUGCCUCAAGGCAAUAUUCUCCCAAGAUAUAUAUCUCUCUGUGUGUGUGUGUGUACUUGGACAGAAACACUUCCCAUACCCGAGGUCUCAGUUAAUGUACUGCUGUUGAAUUCUUCUGUCACUUUUGAUACAAAGCUAUAGCUAUACUUUCAUUUGCCAAGAAGAUAAAAUAGGUUAAAUACUGUGAUUUAGUUACUUUCAGAUUUUGGUAUAUUUUGAGAAGUGCUCCACAAAUAUGAAUGAAAGGAGCUUGUAUUUGAGGUAAUAGUCUAGGAAGUUUUAUUUAAGAUAUCAUCUGUGUCAAUGAAAAAUAGUACUAGACGUGUGAAUAAAGGCCACCUAUGACAUACAAAGUACUGUAAUAAAAUCGGAGGGCUGGGGAAGUGUUGGACUGGAGCCUCGCCCCCAUGCGGUAUGCUCUGUCCAAGUACGUGCUCCUGUUCGCCACAUCUGCAUACUGGAUGAAACCUGCGUGCUAAUUGCGUAUUAUGUGCAAGUCAGUAUUGAACGCUCUGUAUUAUUGUUCCAGAGAAGUAAGUUUCAACAGUUUCCGUGACAUUUCAUGUAUGUUCCAUGCAGUAGUCUAGGUGGGAAUUAUAUUGAUGAUUUCAUUUUACCUUCAUAUCUGCUGAAUUUUCUUACCAAACACAAAAGCUUUGUGUCUUGAGGUGUUGAUAGAAGUGAACAUAAUUCAUGAUACAAUCCUGAUACUCUGAAAAUAUUUUUAUGGUUCAGUAUUCCUACGAGGGGAGUGAGUAUGAGUGGAUCAACACGUGGAGCAGCUGCUGCCUAUGAGGCGAGUGAGUGGAGACGGCCUGAUCUGUGCAGCGGAGGGGCUAUAGAAGCUCGAACGAAAGAUUCGUCGCCAGCAUCGGAGCAAUUUAUUGGGCAGAUCGAUACUAAAGCUCAUGCAUGGACGUGAAGGCAUGUCUUUAUUAAGUUCAAUCUUUGGAAACUUGGCAUGUGACGCUGUGUAAAAAUAGAAGAUGCUAGAAAAUUGUCUCUGGCCAAUUUCGUAUGUAGCUGUGAGCAUUGCUAAUUUUUGUCAACAUGAAUGAUAUUUGGACUAUUUAUAUAGCUACCAUGUGCUGAACAAAUUGUCUGAUUAAUGUAACCCUCCCGAAUAGAUUGGUGUGUGUGCCAUGUCAUUUGGUCUGCGUUACACUAACAGAAUCAUUUUGUCAAUGCCCGGUCCAUUAAUACUCUUUCAAAAUUUUG